CUUUAAAAUUAACAUGAAUUUUUCUGUCUGCUGAGAUGACAUAAUAAAAUCUUGCUCACAUAAGCUAGAACUAUGAGAAAGAUGUGGAAUUUAAUGUUUAAAUUCAGUAGUGGCUUGCUGUUUCAUCUAAAUCAGUUUUAACAAAUUAAUGUAGCUUUCUUUAUUCUGAGAAGUGAUUGGAUAAUAUAUUAAUCAAAUUUUACUUAAUUCUUUCCCUGAAUUUAAGAACUUGGAAAGAUGGCUGUGUUCUGCACUGUGAAAUCAAAGUCCAGAGACCAUUUAAAGGACAAUAAUUGCAGAAAACAAAUAAAGAAGAGGAGCCUGAAAUACAUAGAGAUUUUGAAACAAGAAGUGUGAAACAAAUCCUUGUUCUGCUCAGGCCCCCAGCUGUGCAACAUGAUCUAAAACUGUUAAUUAGACUUGUAAUACUUUGACAAAUUCUUCCAGCUGACCUAACCCUGAGGUACGUGUGACUGCUUAUUGUUACUUUCUUUUCAUUCUUAGUUUGUGCUUUUACAAUAUGCAUGUAGAAAGUAAAUGUUCUUGUUAGCUGAAGUUCUGUAAUCUUGUUGUGUCAUUUAAAUAAUUUAAUCCUUUUAGAGUUGUCAAAUUUAUGUUUCAGUGUUUGUCCCAAUGGUCUGGAAGGAUGUAAUCACUA
rnacentral:lncRNA from 1 species